rnacentral:rRNA from 1 species
GCGAAUACCGGAGAAUGUUAUCACGGGAGACACACGGCGGGUGCUAACGUCCGUCGUGAAGAGGGAAACAACCCAGACCGCCAGCUAAGGUCCCAAAGUCAUGGUUAAGUGGGAAACGAUGUGGGAAGGCCCAGACAGCCAGGAUGUUGGCUUAGAAGCAGCCAUCAUUUAAAGAAAGCGUAAUAGCUCACUGGUCGAGUCGGCCUGCGCGGAAGAUGUAACGGGGCUAAACCAUGCACCGAAGCUGCGGCAGCGACGCUUAUGCGUUGUUGGGUAGGGGAGCGUUCUGUAAGCCUGUGAAGGUGGCCUGUGAGGGUUGCUGGAGGUAUCAGAAGUGCGAAUGCUGACAUAAGUAACGAUAAAGCGGGUGAAAAGCCCGCUCGCCGGAAGACCAAGGGUUCCUGUCCAACGUUAAUCGGGGCAGGGUGAGUCGACCCCUAAGGCGAGGCCGAAAGGCGUAGUCGAUGGGAAACGGGUUAAUAUUCCCGUACUUGGUGUUACUGCGAAGGGGGGACGGAGAAGGCUAUGUUGGCCGGGCGACGGUUGUCCCGGUUUAAGCGUGUAGGUGUGUGUUCCAGGUAAAUCCGGUUCACUUUAACACUGAGGCGUGACGACGAGGCACUACGGUGCUGAAGCAACAAAUGCCCUGCUUCCAGGAAAAGCCUCUAAGCAUCAGGUAACAUCAAAUCGUACCCCAAACCGACACAGGUGGUCAGGUAGAGAAUACCAAGGCGCUUGAGAGAACUCGGGUGAAGGAACUAGGCAAAAUGGUGCCGUAACUUCGGGAGAAGGCACGCUGACACGUAGGUGAAGUGAUUUACUCAUGGAGCUGAAGUCAGUCGAAGAUACCAGCUGGCUGCAACUGUUUAUUAAAAACACAGCACUGUGCAAACACGAAAGUGGACGUAUACGGUGUGACGCCUGCCCGGUGCCGGAAGGUUAAUUGAUGGGGUCAGCGCAAGCGAAGCUCCUGAUCGAAGCCCCGGUAAACGGCGGCCGUAACUAUAACGGUCCUAAGGUAGCGAAAUUCCUUGUCGGGUAAGUUCCGACCUGCACGAAUGGCGUAAUGAUGGCCAGGCUGUCUCCACCCGAGACUCAGUGAAAUUGAACUCGCUGUGAAGAUGCAGUGUACCCGCGGCAAGACGGAAAGACCCCGUGAACCUUUACUAUAGCUUGACACUGAACAUUGAGCCUUGAUGUGUAGGAUAGGUGGGAGGCUUUGAAGUGUGGACGCCAGUCUGCAUGGAGCCGACCUUGAAAUACCACCCUUUAAUGUUUGAUGUUCUAACGUGGACCCGUUACCCGGGUUGCGGACAGUGUCUGGUGGGUAGUUUGACUGGGGCGGUCUCCUCCUAAAGAGUAACGGAGGAGCACGAAGGUUGGCUAAUCCUGGUCGGACAUCAGGAGGUUAGUGCAAUGGCAUAAGCCAGCUUGACUGCGAGCGUGACGGCGCGAGCAGGUGCGAAAGCAGGUCAUAGUGAUCCGGUGGUUCUGAAUGGAAGGGCCAUCGCUCAACGGAUAAAAGGUACUCCGGGGAUAACAGGCUGAUACCGCCCAAGAGUUCAUAUCGACGGCGGUGUUUGGCACCUCGAUGUCGGCUCAUCACAUCCUGGGGCUGAAGUAGGUCCCAAGGGUAUGGCUGUUCGCCAUUUAAAGUGGUACGCGAGCUGGGUUUAGAACGUCGUGAGACAGUUCGGUCCCUAUCUGCCGUGGGCGCUGGAGAACUGAGGGGGGCUGCUCCUAGUACGAGAGGACCGGAGUGGACGCAUCACUGGUGUUCGGGUUGUCAUGCCAAUGGCACUGCCCGGUAGCUAAAUGCGGAAGAGAUAAGUGCUGAAAGCAUCUAAGCACGAAACUUGCCCCGA